UUCCGAUGGUUAAUCUUUCAUAAACUAUAUCCCUUGAAUUUUUGAUGCCUCACUCAGUCACUUGUUAUAAAUCAUCUAACAUAUUUUGGAUUUCUUUUACCUUCCAUCUUGGCUGGCACAAAACAAUCUCAAUUCAUCUUUAUAUUAUUCAAUCACCUGCAUACACAGAUAUACUGAUACGCAGGUGACAGGUAUGACCUUCAAAAUUUUGGUUGCUAUUGAAUCAUUGAUAAUUACUUUAAAGGAACUUGGUUGCUAAGCUCUCUCGUCUUAUACAAAAUCUCAAUGAAAAACUAGAGGUAUAUCUAUUUCUUAAAUAUGUUAAAAGUAGGUACGGUGUGAGCCCAAAACUUCUAGUUGCUAAGCAGAAUUGUGUCAUUACUAGGACAAGCCUGCACUCAAAGAAAAAUGAUGUGAUUUAAUAAGGUUAGAAUAAAUAAAUCAAAAUCUUUUGGAUGAUCGGAUUCCUGCAAUAUGAUUAUGAGUAUAUACGAUAACAAAAUAAAUAAGUAAUAACUAUCCAAUAACCCAUUACCCAAGUAACCCAACAAACAGAACACCCUAAAGGUUAAAGGGCCUAAAUCCGUUCUCGGAAGGCGGAAGCUCACCUCCGGGCUCCGGCGAU
rnacentral:lncRNA from 1 species